GAUGAACGCUGGCGGCGUGCUUAACACAUGCAAGUCGAACGGAAAGGCUCCUGCUUGCAGGGGUACUCGAGUGGCGAACGGGUGAGUAACACGUGGGUGAUCUGCCCUGCACUUCGGGAUAAGCCUGGGAAACUGGGUCUAAUACCGGAUAGGACGAUGGUUUGGAUGCCAUUGUGGAAAGUUUUUUCGGUGUGGGAUGAGCUCGCGGCCUAUCAGCUUGUUGGUGGGGUAAUGGCCUGCCAAGGCGUCGACGGGUAGCCGGCCUGAGAGGGUGUACGGCCACAUUGGGACUGAGAUACGGCCCAGACUCCUACGGGAGGCAGCAGUGGGGAAUAUUGCACAAUGGGCGCAAGCCUGAUGCAGCGACGCCGCGUGGGGGAUGACGGCCUUCGGGUUGUAAACUCCUUUCGCUAGGGACGAAGCGCAAGUGACGGUACCUGGAGAAGAAGCACCGGCUAACUACGUG
rnacentral:rRNA from 1 species